rnacentral:rRNA from 1 species
CCUACGGGUGGCAGCAGUGCGGAAUAUUGGUCAAUGGGCGCGAGCCUGAACCAGCCAAGUAGCGUGAAGGAUGACUGCCCUACGGGUUGUAAACUUCAUUUAUAAAGGAAUAAAGUGAGGCACGUGUGCCUUUUUGUAUGUACUUUAUGAAUACGGAUCGGCUAACUCCGUGCCAGCAGCCGCGGUAAUACGGAGGCUCCGAGCGUUAUCCGGAUUUAUUGGGUUUAAAGGGAGCGUAGAUGGGUUGUUAAGUCAGUUGUGAAAGUUUGCGGCUCAACCGUACAAAUGCAAUUGAUACUGGCAGUCUUGAGUACAGGUGAGGUAGGCGGAAUUCGUGGUGUAGCGGUGAAAUGCGUAGAUAUCACGAAGAACUCCGAUUGCGAAGGCAGCCUACUAAACUGCCACUGACACUGAGGCUCGAAAGUGUGGGUAGCAAACAGGAUUAGAUACCCGAGUAGUC